rfam:Gossypium hirsutum cultivar TM-1 chromosome 1, whole genome shotgun sequence
AUUUCUUUUAACAUAUCAAGAAGUCUAGUUGACAAUGAAGAAAGAAGUAAGAAGUCAAAAGCCAUCAGUACCUAUAACCAAAACUCAUAAACUGAUAUCAUACUUCUUUCUUCACUGCCAAUUUGACUUCUUGGUAUGUUAAAAGAAAU